GCGGGGAUUGCCAAGCCAGGUCAAAGGCGUAGGGCUUAGGACCCUAUCUCGUAGGAGUUCGUGCGUUCGAAUCGCACUCCCCGCA
rnacentral:tRNA from 1 species